UGGGAACUUCGUUCAAAGAUAUGUCUUCAAGGAAAAAGUUAAUAUCUAGAGUUUCCAGCACCGGGCAGGCAGAGAGAAAAGCAACUACCGAAUCCACAGUCUCUACACCAAGUUUCAGUCUCUUCAGUAAUGGAAAAUGAAGCGGAGAAUGUUGAUCUUUGAUAUGGAUUUCUACACCAUGCAGACUGCAGGAAACGAGGUUGUUGCAGUUGAUGAAGAGGGAAGGAGGGAGUUUAACAAAAUCAUCGGCGUUUAGAACGGUGAGAGAGAGUUCUUGAAGGUGGGGACCAGUGGCGGCACGGAACCACAGCUCAAACAUUUUGGGAUCCGGGUAAUCACAGUUGAGACGGAACUUCCGAAUGUUGCGGGAUCUACGGAGGGUGAGUACAGCAUUGACGAAGGAUGCAAAUUUUUUGAAACUGUCGUCGUAAAAGUGAGGAUCGUAGUCGUAGUCGUCGAAGU
rnacentral:lncRNA from 1 species